rnacentral:rRNA from 1 species
UACGAAGGUGGCGAGCGUUACUCGGAAUUACUAGGCGUAAAGGGCAGGUAGGUGGUUUGAUAAGUCUGUUGUGUAAACUCCCGGCUUAACUGGGAGAGGUCAACGGAUACUGUCAGGCUUGAGUAUAGGAGAGGGUACUGGAAUUCCCGGUGUAGCGGUGAAAUGCGCAGAUAUCGGGAGGAACACCAAUGGCGAAGGCAGGUACCUGGACUAUUACUGACACUCAGCUGCGAAAGCUAGGGGAGCGAACAGG